CGCCCGUCAAACCAUGGGAGCUGGUAAUGCCCGAAGUCGGUUUAUAAACAAACUGCCUAAGGCAGGACUGGUGACUGGGGUUAAGUCGUAACAAGGUAUCCCUACGAGAACGUGGGGAUGGAUCACCUCCUUUCUACGGAGUACAAAAAUCAUUAUUUUUAAUGAUUAUUAACCUUUUUUACUAGACCUUAUUUAUUUGUUAUGUGCUUUGUUUUUAUGGUCUACAAAGCUUAUAUCUAGUUUUGAGAGAGCAUUCUCUCUUUGUUCUUUGAAAACUGAAUAGUAAAUUUUAAAAUAUUUACAACGACAUCAAUAAUUAAUUGAUUUAGGUCAAUUUGUUUUGAUUCAUCGAGAUAAAAAACAAUCAUAAAUUUUUGAUUCAUUGAAAUGUCUUAAAAUACACAUCAUAAUGUAACCAAUACAAUAGGAUAAAUACUUACUUUUAAAUAAGGAAGAGUGAGUGGUGGAUGCCUUGGGUCUGGAAGUCGAAGAAGGACGUGAUUACCUGCGAUAAGCCUCGUGAAGCUGGAUAUAAGCUAUGAUACGGGGAUUUCCGAAUGGGGAAACCUAACUAGAGUAAUGUCUAGUUGCCUUUAACUGAAUUCAUAGGUUAAUGAGCGAGACACCAUGUGAACUGAAACAUCUUAGUAGCAUGAGGAAGAGAAAAUAAAUAAUGAUUUCUUUAGUAGCGGUGAGCGAACGAGAAAGAGCCCAAACCAUUUUAUAUGGGGUUGUAGGACGAUCUACAUAGAGUUACAAAACUUAAUAAUAGCAGAAACUUUUGGGAAGAAGUGGCAUAGAGGGUGAUACCCCCGUAAGCGAAAUUGUUAAGUCUCUUGAUCGUAUCCUGAGUAGGGCGGGGCACGUGAAACCCUGUCUGAAUCUGCCGGGACCACCCGGUAAGGCUAAAUACUAACCAGACACCGAUAGUGAACUA
rnacentral:sRNA from 2 species